GCCAGACUAGCUCAGUGGUGAGAGCGCCGGGCCCUUGUGCCCGGAGGUCGCGGGUUCGAUCCCCGUGUCUGGCACCG
rnacentral:tRNA from 1 species